UAUGAAGGUCAGGCUGAAGACUUACCCGAUUAGCUGAGAGGUGGUGCAUGGCCGUCGUCAGUUCGUACUGUGAAGCAUCCUGUUAAGUCAGGCAACGAGCGAGACCCACGUCCACAGUUGCCAGCAUACCCCUCCGGGGUGAUGGGUACACUGUGGAGACCGCCGCUGCUAAAGCGGAGGAAGGAGUGGGCAACGGUAGGUCAGUAUGCCCCGAAUCUCCCGGGCUACACGCGGGCUACAAUGGUUGGUACAAUGGGCAUCUACCCCGAAAGGGGAAGGAAAUCUCUUAAAGCCAAUCGUAGUUCGGAUUGAGGGCUGCAACUCGCCCUCAUGAAGCUGGAAUCCGUAGUAAUCGCGUUUCAACAGAACGCGGUGAAUACGUCCCUGCUCCUU
rnacentral:rRNA from 1 species